rnacentral:rRNA from 1 species
CCGGCGCACGGGUGAGUAACACGUAUCCAACCUGCCGUCUACUCUUGGCCAGCCUUCUGAAAGGAAGAUUAAUCCAGGAUGGCAACAUGAGUUCACAUGUCCGCAUGAUUAAAGGUAUUUUCCGGUAGACGAUGGGGAUGCGUUCCAUUAGAUAGUAGGCGGGGUAACGGCCCACCUAGUCAACGAUGGAUAGGGGUUCUGAGAGGAAGGUCCCCCACAUUGGAACUGAGACACGGUCCAA